UUAAGCGACUAAGCGUACACGGUGGAUGCCCUGGCAGUCAGAGGCGAUGAAGGACGUGCUAAUCUGCGAAAAGCGUCGGUAAGGUGAUAUGAACCGUUACAGCCGGCGAUGUCCGAAUGGGGAAACCCAGUGUGAUUCGUCACACUAUCGUUAACUGAAUACAUAGGUUAACGAGGCGAACCGGGGGAACUGAAACAUCUAAGUACCCCGAGGAAAAGAAAUCAACCGAGAUUCCCCCAGUAGCGGCGAGCGAACGGGGAGCAGCCCAGAGUCUGAAUCAGCUUGUGUGUUAGUGGAACGGUCUGGAAAGUCCGACGGUACAGGGUGAUAGUCCCGUACACCAAAAUGCACAGGCUGUGAACUCAAAGAGUAGGGCGGGACACGUGGUAUCCUGUCUGAAUAUGGGGGGACCAUCCUCCAAGGCUAAAUACUCCUGACUGACCGAUAGUGAACCAGUACCGUGAGGGAAAGGCGAAAAGAACCCCGGCGAGGGGAGUGAAAAAGAACCUGAAACCGUGUACGUACAAGCAGUGGGAGCACCUUCGGGUGUGACUGCGUACCUUUUGUAUAAUGGGUCAGCGACUUAUAUUCUGUAGCAAGGUUAACCGUAUAGGGGAGCCGCAGGGAAACCGAGUCUUAACUGGGCGUUAAGUUGCAGGGUAUAGACCCGAAACCCGGUGAUCUAGCCAUGGGCAGGUUGAAGGUUGGGUAACACUAACUGGAGGACCGAACCGACUAAUGUUGAAAAAUUAGCGGAUGACUUGUGGCUGGGGGUGAAAGGCCAAUCAAACCGGGAGAUAGCUGGUUCUCCCCGAAAGCUAUUUAGGUAGCGCCUCGUGAAUUCAUCUUCGGGGGUAGAGCACUGUUUCGGCUAGGGGGUCAUCCCGACUUACCAACCCGAUGCAAACUACGAAUACCGAAGAAUGUUAUCACGGGAGACACACGGCGGGUGCUAACGUCCGUCGUGAAGAGGGAAACAACCCAGACCGCCAGCUAAGGUCCCAAAGUCACAGUUAAGUGGGAAACGAUGUGGGAAGGCACAGACAGCCAGGAUGUUGGCUUAGAAGCAGCCAUCAUUUAAAGAAAGCGUAAUAGCUCACUGGUCGAGUCGGCCUGCGCGGAAGAUGUAACGGGGCUAAACUGUGCACCGAAGCUGCGGCAGCGACACUAUGUGUUGUUGGGUAGGGGAGCGUUCUGUAAGCCUGCGAAGGUGGCCUGUGAGGGUUGCUGGAGGUAUCAGAAGUGCGAAUGCUGACAUAAGUAACGAUAAUGCGGGUGAAAAGCCCGCACGCCGGAAGACCAAGGGUUCCUGUCCAACGUUAAUCGGGGCAGGGUGAGUCGACCCCUAAGGCGAGGCCGAAAGGCGUAGUCGAUGGGAAACAGGUUAAUAUUCCUGUACUUGGUGUUACUGCGAAGGGGGGACGGAGAAGGCUAUGUUAGCCGGGCGACGGUUGUCCCGGUUUAAGCAUGUAGGCGGAGGUUCCAGGUAAAUCCGGUACCUUUUUAACGCUGAGGUGUGAUGACGAGGCACUACGGUGCUGAAGUAACAAAUGCCCUGCUUCCAGGAAAAGCCUCUAAGCAUCAGGUAACAUUAAAUCGUACCCCAAACCGACACAGGUGGUCAGGUAGAGAAUACCAAGGCGCUUGAGAGAACUCGGGUGAAGGAACUAGGCAAAAUGGUGCCGUAACUUCGGGAGAAGGCACGCUGAUAUGUAGGUGAAGCCCCUGCGGGUGGAGCUGAAAUCAGUCGAAGAUACCAGCUGGCUGCAACUGUUUAUUAAAAACACAGCACUGUGCAAACACGAAAGUGGACGUAUACGGUGUGACGCCUGCCCGGUGCCGGAAGGUUAAUUGAUGGGGUUAUCCGUAAGGAGAAGCUCUUGAUCGAAGCCCCGGUAAACGGCGGCCGUAACUAUAACGGUCCUAAGGUAGCGAAAUUCCUUGUCGGGUAAGUUCCGACCUGCACGAAUGGCGUAAUGAUGGCCAGGCUGUCUCCACCCGAGACUCAGUGAAAUUGAACUCGCUGUGAAGAUGCAGUGUACCCGCGGCAAGACGGAAAGACCCCGUGAACCUUUACUAUAGCUUGACACUGAACAUUGAGCCUUGAUGUGUAGGAUAGGUGGGAGGCUUUGAAGCGUGGACGCCAGUCUGCGUGGAGCCAACCUUGAAAUACCACCCUUUAAUGUUUGAUGUUCUAACGUUGGCCCCUUAUCGGGGUUGCGGACAGUGUCUGGUGGGUAGUUUGACUGGGGCGGUCUCCUCCCAAAGAGUAACGGAGGAGCACGAAGGUUAGCUAAUCCUGGUCGGACAUCAGGAGGUUAGUGCAAUGGCAUAAGCUAGCUUGACUGCGAGCGUGACGGCGCGAGCAGGUGCGAAAGCAGGUCAUAGUGAUCCGGUGGUUCUGAAUGGAAGGGCCAUCGCUCAACGGAUAAAAGGUACUCCGGGGAUAACAGGCUGAUACCGCCCAAGAGUUCAUAUCGACGGCGGUGUUUGGCACCUCGAUGUCGGCUCAUCACAUCCUGGGGCUGAAGUAGGUCCCAAGGGUAUGGCUGUUCGCCAUUUAAAGUGGUACGCGAGCUGGGUUUAGAACGUCGUGAGACAGUUCGGUCCCUAUCUGCCGUGGGCGCUGGAGAAUUGAGGGGGGCUGCUCCUAGUACGAGAGGACCGGAGUGGACGCAUCACUGGUGUUCGGGUUGUCAUGCCAAUGGCAUUGCCCGGUAGCUAAAUGCGGAAGAUAUAAGUGCUGA
rnacentral:rRNA from 1 species